rnacentral:rRNA from 1 species
GGGUUACUUCGGUAUCUGAGACCGGCGCACGGGUGCGUAACGCGUAUGCAAUCUACCUUUUACUAUGGGAUAGCCCAGAGAAAUUUGGAUUAAUACCAUAUAGUAUAUUUGAAUGGCAUCGUUUGAAUAUUAAAGACUUAUCGGUAAAAGAUAAGCAUGCGUCCCAUUAGUUAGUUGGUGUGGCAACGGCAUACCAAGACGAUGAUGGGUAGGGGUCCUGAGAGGGAGAUCCCCCACACUGGUACUGAGACACGGACCAGACUCCUACGGGAGGCAGCAGUGAGGAAUAUUGGUCAAUGGAGGCAACUCUGAACCAGCCAUGCCGCGUGCAGGAUGACGGUCCUAUGGAUUGUAAACUGCUUUUGUACGGGAAGAAAACAAACUACGAGUAGUUAAUUGACGGUACCGUAAGAAUAAGGAUCGGCUAACUCCGUGCCAGCAGCCGCGGUAAUACGGAGGAUCCAAGCGUUAUCCGGAAUCAUUGGGGUUUAAAGGGGUCCGUAGGCGGNCCUUAUAAGUCAGUGGUGAAAGUUUUUGCUUAACCAAAAAUUGCCAUUGAUACUGUAGGGCUUGAAUAUCUGUGAAGUAACUAGAAUAUGUAGUGUAGCGGUGAAAUGCUUAGAUAUUACAUGGAAUACCGAUUGCGAAGGCAGGUUACUAACAGAUGAUUGACGCUGAUGGACGAAAGCGUGGGUAGCGAACAGGAUUAGAUACCCUGGUAGUCCACGCCGUAAACGAUGGAUACUAGCUGUUUGGUUUUCGGACUGAGUGGCUAAGCGAAAGUGAUAAGUAUCCCACCUGGGGAGUACGGUCGCAAGACUGAAACUCAAAGGAAUUGACGGGGGCCCGCACAAGCGGUGGAGCAUGUGGUUUAAUUCGAUGAUACGCGAGGAACCUUACCAGGGCUUAAAUGUAGAUUGACAGAUUUGGAACAGAUUUUUCUUCGGACCAUUUACAAGGUGCUGCAUGGUUGUCGUCAGCUCGUGCCGUGAGGUGUCAGGUUAAGUCCUAUAACGAGCGCANCCCCUGUUGUUAGUUGCCAGCACGUAAUGGUGGGAACUCUAGCAGACUGCCAGUGUAAACUGUGAGGAAGGGGGGGAUGACGUCAAAUCAUCACGGCCUUACGUCUGGGCCACCCCGU